rnacentral:tRNA from 1 species
CAAGUUAGAGCUUGAACUUAAAAGCGUCUUAUUUACACUAAGUUGAUAAUUAAUAAUUUAACUUGA